rnacentral:rRNA from 1 species
UACGUAGGUGCCAAGCGUUAUCCGGAUUUAUUGGGCGUAAAGGGAACGCAGGCGGUCUUUUAAGUCUGAUGUGAAAGCCUUCGGCUUAACCGGAGUAGUGCAUUGGAAACUGGGAGACUUGAGUGCAGAAGAGGAGAGUGGAACUCCAUGUGUAGCGGUGAAAUGCGUAGAUAUAUGGAAGAACACCAGUGGCGAAAGCGGCUCUCUGGUCUGUAACUGACGCUGAGGUUCGAAAGCGUGGGAAGCAAACAGG